UUGAAACCCGUCCUGGGGAAGCUGGUCGUUGUGCUGGGCGACGAGUACAAGCGUUUCAAGGGAGUGCACAGCCAGAUAAAGUUCCUCGCCGAUGAACUCAUGGCCAUCCAUGCUUUUCUGCUGAAAAUGUCUAAGGUCGAGAAUCCUGAUGCGCAAGACAUGGCAUGGAUGAAUGAGGUGCGGGAUCUGUCCUACGACAUCGAAGACAGCCUCGACGAAUUCAUGCUACGCGAUGACACUAAGCCAUAUGGCUUUAUUGAGAAGAUCAAGAAUUUGUUAGAGAAGACCAGGAGUCGGAGUAGUAUUGCCAAAGCAAUCCAAGAUUUGAAGAAGCAAGUGAUUAUGGUGGGCGAGAGGCAUGCAAGGUACAAGAUUGGUGAGGGUGUCUCCAAGACAAGCAACACUACUGUCGACCCUAGAGCUCUUGCUAUAUUUACGGACAUGUCAAACCUUGUCAGUAUUGAUGGGCCGAAGCAUGAUGUUAUCACAUUGCUUACUGAAGAAGUUGGGGGUAAAUCAACGCAACAACAUCCAAAGGUGGUCUCUAUUGUUGGUUUUGGUGGACUGGGUAAGACGACUCUUGCACACCAAGUAUAUGAAGAGUUGAAAGGG
rnacentral:rRNA from 1 species